CACUUGUGCCUCAAACUACUGUAUACAUAAAUAACAUUUUCAGAAAAAAAUCUCUCCAUGGAUAUUCCAAUUGUAACCGUCGUUAACACAAUUAAAUUCUUCAAAAUCAACAAAAACAUACUGUGGAAGACAAAAAUGAGGACUUGUGCUGAUAAACUCUACAAGUGAUGUGUUAAGAAUGCGGAAACGGGCAAGAGCGUAGUAACUGAAAUCUGCCAAAAAUCACGUUCAAUUCUCUAUUAAUCGUCGAAGUAAAGUAACUUCAUAUAAGUUCAGAAUGCAAGAGGAACAUUUUCAGAAAAAUUGAAAUUAUUAAUCGAUAUUCUGAUCCUGCCAACAACGUAAAAAAAUGCGAUAGAAAGAAAAAUACUGUGGAAAAUAAUAACCGAUUUCUAAUUAUAAGACAAUAAAGUAAAGUAAUUUUCUAGUAAGUCUGUAAAAAUACAAUAUAAAUAAUGCACAUGUCUAAUUAUACCGUGACGUAAAGGUCCUGGAUUAAAGUAAUAUUUGGUCGUAACUACUCCAAAAACAAGUCAUUUACUUCACUAGAUUCACUAAAUUUUGAAAAAAUCAAAGCGAUGAGCAACUAGA